UGAUAUUUAUUUUAGUAAUUUUAAGUAUGUUUAAAAAGAAAUUAAGUUAUAAGUAAAUUUCUUAAAAAUAGUAAAUAACUUUGAAAUUAAAUAAAUUACUAAUCAAACUUUAGAGAAACUAAAAUAUAUGUUACUUAUCUAAGAAGCUCCACUCACACCAAAACCUAACAUAUACAAAUCUAAAGGCAUACUUCUAUAUCUCUUAAUUAUAUUUCAAACUAACUUACAAUAUUUUAGUUAAGGUCAAAAACAUUUUAAGUGGUUUAUGAGAUGUUUUCUAGUUUCACAAAAAUUUAAUAAGAUAAGUAUUAACGAAUCAAAAAUUAAAAAAAAAAAUCAAAAACCAAAAAACAGA
rnacentral:lncRNA from 1 species